CUGCAUGUCUAAGUAUAAGCAAUUAUACGGCGAAACUGCGAAUGGCUCAUUAUAUAAGUUAUCGUUUAUUUGAUAGCACCUUACUACUUGGAUAACCGUGGUAAUUCUAGAGCUAAUACAUGCUGAAAAUCCCGACUUCGGAAGGGAUGUAUUUAUUGGAUUAAAAACCAAUGCCCUCUGGGCUCUCUGGUGAUUCACGAUAACUUCUCGAAUCGCAUGGCCUUGCGCCGGCGAUGGUUCAUUCAAAUUUCUUCCCUAUCAACUUUCGAUGUUUGGGUAGUGGCCAAACAUGGUUGCAACGGGUAACGGAGGGUUAGGGCUCGACCCCGGAGAAGGAGCCUGAGAAACGGCUACUACAUCCAAGGAAGGCAGCAGGCGCGCAAAUUACCCAAUCCCGACACGGGGAGGUAGUGACAAUAAAUACUGAUACAGGGCUCUUUUGGGUCUUGUAAUUGGAAUGAGUACAUUUAAAUCCCUUAACGAGGAACAAUUGGAGGGCAAGUCUGGUGCCAGCAGCCGCGGUAAUUCCAGCUCCAAUAGCGUAUAUUAAAGUUGUUGUGGUUAAAAAGCUCGUAGUUGAACCUUGGGCCUGGCUGGCCGGUCCGCCUCACCGCGUGCACUGGUCCGGCCGGGCCUUUCCCUCUGUGGAACCCCAUGCCCUUCACUGGGCGUGGCGGGGAAACAGGACCUUUACUUUGAAAAAAUUAGAGUGCUCCAGGCAGGCCUAUGCUCGAAUACAUUAGCAUGGAAUAAUGAAAUAGGACGUGCGGUUCUAUUUUGUUGGUUUCUAGGACCGCCGUAAUGAUUAAUAGGGACAGUCGGGGGCAUCAGUAUUCAAUUGUCAGAGGUGAAAUUCUUGGAUUUAUUGAAGACUAACUACUGCGAAAGCAUUUGCCAAGGAUGUUUUCAUUAAUCAGGAACGAAAGUUAGGGGAUCGAAGACGAUCAGAUACCGUCGUAGUCUUAACCAUAAACUAUGCCGACUAGGGAUCGGACGAUGUUAUUUUUUGACUCGUUCGGCACCUUACGAGAAAUCAAAGUGCUUGGGCUCCAGGGGGAG
rnacentral:rRNA from 2 species